GCCUUCGAGGAGCGUUGCGACGGGUACCGCGAAUCAGCAUAUAUUCGCCGGCCGCCCGCCAGGCUCGAAGGCUUCAAUCGGAAGGACCGGAUGCGCAUUGCGCUUUCCAGUUCACCGCAUCGAACCGCGCUCACGUCAA
rnacentral:ncRNA from 2 species